GUAACAAGGUUUCCGUAGGUGAACCUGCGGAAGGAUCAUUAUUGAAUGAAUUUGGUUGGGCUGUUGCUGGCUCUUUCGGGGGCAUGUGCACGCCUAACACCAAUUUCUUACCACCUGUGCACAUUUUGUAGACCUGGAAAUAACUCUCGAGGUCAACCUCGGUUUUGGAGAUUGCUGUGCAAUAAAAAGUCAGCUUUCUUCUAAUGUUUCCGGUCUAUGUUUUUCAUAUACCCCUAUAGUAUGUCUAAGAAUGUAUACAAGGGCUUAGUUGCCUUUAACCCCUAUACAACUUUCAACAACGGAUCUCUUGGCUCUCGCAUCGAUGAAGAACGCAGCGAAAUGCGAUAAGUAAUGUGAAUUGCAGAAUUCAGUGAAUCAUCGAAUCUUUGAACGCACCUUGCGCUCCUUGGUAUUCCGAGGAGCAUGCCUGUUUGAGUGUCAUGAAAUUCUCAACCUCUUUGGCUUUUUUUUGGUCGAUGAGGCUUGGAUUUUGGGAGUUGCAGGCUUUUAGAAGUCAGCUCUCCUUAAAUGCAUUAGCGGAACCUUUGUGGACCAGCUUUUGGUGUGAUAAUUAUCUGCGCCAUGGCAUGUGAAGCAUAUUUAAUAGGGUUCAGCUGCUAAUAGUCUCCUGUAGACAAUCUUCUUGACUAUUUGACCUCAAAUCAGGUAGGACUACCCGCUGAACUUAAGC
rnacentral:rRNA from 1 species